rnacentral:rRNA from 1 species
UACGAAGGGGGCUAGCGUUGUUCGGAAUCACUGGGCGUAAAGCGCACGUAGGCGGAUCUUUAAGUCAGAGGUGAAAUCCCAAGGCUCAACCUUGGAACUGCCUUUGAUACUGAAGAUCUUGAGUUCGGGAGAGGUGAGUGGAACUGCGAGUGUAGAGGUGAAAUUCGUAGAUAUUCGCAAGAACACCAGUGGCGAAGGCGGCUCACUGGCCCGAUACUGACGCUGAUGCACGAAAGCGUGGGGAGCAAACAGG